CGGCGUGCCUAAUACAUGCAAGUCGAACGCAUUGUGGUUGAAAUGAUAUGAAGAACUUGUUCAGAUUUGAUUUCAACAUUGCAAUGAGUGGCGAACGGGUGAGUAACACGUGGGAAACCUACCUCUUAGCAGGGGAUAACAUUUGGAAACAAUGCUAAUACCGUAUAAUAAUUAAAACCGCAUGGUUUUAGUUAAAGAUGGUCUUGCUAUCACUAAGAGAUGGUCCCGCGGUGUAUUAGUUAGUUGGUGAGGUAAUGGCUCACCAAGACAAUGAUACAUAGCCGAGUUGAGAGACUGACCGGCCACAAUGGGACUGAGACACGGCCCAUACUCCUACGGGAGGCAGCAGUAGGGAAUCUUCCACAAUGGACGAAAGUCUGAUGGAGCAACGCCGCGUGUGUGAUGAAGGGUUUCGGCUCGUAAAACACUGUUGUAAGAGAAGAAUGACAUUGAGAGUAACUGUUCAAUGUGUGACGGUAUCUUACCAGAAAGGAACGGCUAAAUACGUG
rnacentral:rRNA from 1 species